rnacentral:lncRNA from 1 species
GUGCGCAGUCUUGUUCCUACAUAUAAAAAAAAAGCUAUUUCCGUAUGUCAGACCAUUACACCUAGGUUACAAUAGCAUAACUUUAUCAUUGCACUAAAGCCCGUACUUAUGCUAAAUCUAUGGUGAUUAUUUUAAGUCAAAAUAAAAUCCCCUUCUUUGAUUACAAUUUACAUCACUCAAAAUGCAACCAAAAAACAAAAACAGUUUUAUAAAGCUUUCUUAUAUGUUCACUACUUGGCCUCAAAAUAGUAUUUUCUAACAAGAUAUAUAAGGCUCGAGCUGAUUUAGUUUUUGAAGGUUCUAGACAGCCGAAUUUUUAGCCUAUAUGCAUUCUCAGAUAUGUGAAUCAAGAUGGACAAGCAUGAUCUCUCAAUCUAGACAACCCACCCCGCAUCUAUUUAUAGAUACGCAUAACAGAGAUAUUACACACGGAGAGCAGAUUAUGUGCAGGAGAAAAAUCAUAAAAGUCUUCUGAUGUUUUUGCACACUGAUGUUCCCUGAGAGGUCUCUCUCAGUGAAAGAAGAAAAGGAUGUAUGCGGAUUAUUCAUAUAUACAUUGUUGGGUGAAGAAGAGGGUGCUAACUAUUACACACACAGAAACACGUCGAGUCCUAUCAGCGACCGCAGUACAAGUGAUAAAAAAUGCAGCGACGAGCAAGUAAUGAUGAUCAUGCCAAUGAAGCUACCUAUUGGAGACGGGGUUCGGGCCACUGGGGACUUCAUGCUUGCUCUCUUCAAACUGGGAAGAUGAUGGGACGCCAUUCUCCGGAUGCAACUUGGUGGAUUGGGAUGCAGAAUGGGAGAGAAGCCGCCGAGUGGAGAAAGGGGCCAUGGAGAUCCUCAGCUGAUGUGUUGGCCGAGCCAAGGGCAGUAGAAAGAGGCAGAGGAACCAUAAGAGCAGCAGCUUUGAUCUCCUAAGACUUCGGUCCAUUGCCAUGCGGAUUCCAGUCUGAAGACCUGAAACUUCCCCCCCAAGAGCCCGCAAGAGAUCAAUAUCCAUGAACCAGCUGAGCCAACAAAGUGAGGAAAGCCUUCGAAUGAGAAAAAGGAACACAUGUAAAGAUAAGCGGAAAAGGCCAAACCUUACUGCUUGGAUUCAAAGUAUGACAAAAGAGUCAUUGAAUAGGGAUGGAGCUGUUACAUGGGUAUCCCUUACCUUAUCUACCUUCUAAUUGAUGGGUUGUUAGGACUCAUUGAAUGAGAUGACAUGUGACACCAUGUUUCCUUCAAAUGACAUGUGCCUCCGGCGGUGUGGCAGGGAGCCUCGGACUUGAAAGAGUCCAGACUCUUUAUGGCCUAUCUUUCCACAAGACUGACCACCACCAUCAUCAUCAUAGAAGAUGGAAUGCUAAUUUGGGGUAUGAACGAUUUGAAGGAGUGGUUACCGAAUGAUUUGUUGCACACUUCAGGGUAGACAUCAAAAGCUAUGGUUCACUCCAAAUCAAGACCAGCAUUUAAAGCAUCAUGAUUUAAUGUUAUCAUUCUUGAGCAUCAAUAGCAAACAUUGGUUACCUAAGACUGUUCGGGUUACUCAAUUCGGUGAAGUAAAUCGACGUCAUCCCUUAUCUUGAGAUCAGCCUUUGUUUGGAUUCAGCAAUUUGGAUGACUAAGGGUGCAAAAGAGCAGGAUGAACCUGGAUCCUACUGGUUGGGACCCAAAAAAAAACCGAAAAAUACUGGACUCUCUCUCUCUCUCUCAUAAUCUUACAGAAGGGUUCGGGUUUAGCAGAAACCGUUCGUACUUGAAUCGGACUAAACCGAGCUACAAAGGCUGAUAUAUCUGAAGAGUUGAGAUUAACACCCAUCCAACAAAAAUAUAGUUUACCAUGAGCCAAAAUUGGACCAAUCAUGGAAGUUCAAAUGGUGAUUCUCAACUGGAAACUAGCUCAUCAUUUCAAUACAAGCCAGG